GGGAAUUUUCCGCAAUGGGCGAAAGCCUGACGGAGCAAUACCGCGUGAGGGAUGACGGCCUAUGGGUUGUAAACCUCUUUUUUCAGGGAGGAAUCAAUGACGUGUACCUGAAGAAUAAGCAUCGGCUAACCCCGUGCCAGCAGCCGCGGUAAGACGGAGGAUGCAAGUGUUAUCCGGAAUCACUGGGCGUAAAGCGUCUGUAGGUGGUUUAAUAAGUCAACUGUUAAAUCUUGAGGCUCAACCUCAAAAUCGCAGUCGAAACUAUUAGACUAGAGUAUAGUAGGGGUAAAGGGAAUUUCCAGUGGAGCGGUGAAAUGCGUAGAUAUUGGAAGGAACACCGAUGGCGAAGGCACCUUACUGGGCUAUUACUAACACUCAGAGACGAAAGCUAGGGUAGCAAAUGGGAUUAGAUACCCCAGUAGUCA
rnacentral:rRNA from 1 species